ensembl:lncRNA
CCAAAACACUGCUGGAGACUGUCACCAAGCCCAGGAACGUCCGUGGCUCCAGAAAGAAGAAGGAGUUUCUAGCUUGCAACUUUUUCCCCAUGCACACUGUGAGUUGCUUCUGGUUCGCCAGGACACCACUGAUGUGCAAGAGAUGAUGCUGGAGCAGCUCACCAUGAGGGCAAGGCAGGGCUGGACAGAGAUACGGAAAGAGUGCCAGGAAUACCUCAUUUGGGAUCAAGUUGCUGAGCUCCUGCUCUCAGCGCUGUCCUUGCCCGUCGCAUUUGGAUGUUGAAUUGGUGUGAUGAGUGUCAGCUCCGUGUUCUGCUGGGAGUGUGUCUGCAUCUGAAUCCAGGAUGCUGUGCACAUGCAGAAGGCCAAUCCUGCGAGGUGAUAGCUGGGGCAGGAAAUGUUAAAGAAGUAGCCCUCGAUGAGAAGCUGUGAUUAAGACAGCUUUACGCCCCGAAUCCAACCUGAACAGUUACAAUAACCCCAGAAGUUGGUGAAAUUAUUAGGCAGAGCUUAAGUAAAAUGAUAUGAAGACAAUGCUAAGGCAGGUGAGAUUUUGCUUGGCUUAAUGCACAAAGCCCAGAAGAAAAGGAAAGGAAAGAAUUUCCCCUGUGAAAAUCUCAGCUGGUUCCAUUUCCAGUGACAGUCAAAGAGUUAAAGUGAUAUGUUGGGAGUUAUGAGUGUUUAUCUAAAAGAAAAGUGGCAGGUGAAAGGGAUAAAAUAACACAGUUCUUAAAGCAAUGCAAUAUGUUCGAAUUAUCCGAGGAUCAGAGCUGGAAUUUGGAAGGUAAUAUUGGAUAGAAGGAAAUGGGAGAUGGAGACAGAAAUAGGAUGGGGUAAAACAGCUCGAGGUGGCUUCCCCAUUGGUUGCUGCAAAGGAAAAACAAAGAGGUUGGCAUUGAGAGGACCGCUGUGAAUUUGUUUAUUGGAGGGGAUUUUUAUUGCACUUUCAGAAAUAAGCUCAGGGCCUCUGCUAUGUCAGGGUGCAGAGCAGACCCUCCUGAGCUGAGUUUGGCUGGGAAAACAUCUGCAGUGUGUUCCUGUACGUGAGAACGCCGCUGGAAAUGGCUGCUGUGCUGAGAUGACCUGUGAAACAACCACCGCUGACCGAUGCUGAGAUCCUUCCCUUCGCUUUCACAACCUCUGCUCUUCAGGCAUCAGUCCUCCCCAGGAGCUCAGCUUCUCCUGGGCUGUUUUCUCAGGUACAACAGUGUGCACCAACCUUUUUUAACUGAGAAGAAGUAAAAGGUCCAAGAGCAGAGCAUCACUGAUGCAUUGCCUUCCCAAAUCUGCAGGCAGCCCAGAACGAGGGCUCUGUGGUGCACCGCCGUUGUCCCAGCUUUUUUAUCAGUAUGCCUUCUCCUGGCUGUGGCAGGUGCAAAAUUGAG